rnacentral:rRNA from 1 species
UACGGAGGGUGCAAGCGUUAUCCGGAUUUACUGGGUUUAAAGGGUGCGCAGGCGGAUAUGUAAGUCAGUGGUGAAAUCUCUGGGCUUAACCCGGAAAUUGCCAUUGAUACUAUAUAUCUUGAAUGCUGUGGAGGUAAGCGGAAUAUGUCAUGUAGCGGUGAAAUGCUUAGAGAUGACAUAGAACACCUAUUGCGAAGGCAGCUUACUACGCAGAGAUUGACGCUCAUGCACGAAAGCGUGGGGAUCAAACAGGA